rnacentral:rRNA from 1 species
GGUUUCUUGGGAGAGAGUAAGAAAUUUAACCUGCCCGCUGAAAGAAGAAUUUGAAGGGCCGCGGUAUUUUGACUGUGCAAAGGUAGCAUAAUCAUUAGUCUUUUAAUUGGAGGCUUGUAUGAAUGGUUGGACGAGGUAAAUACUGUUUUAUGAAGAUUGUGGUGUUGAAUUUUGGUUUUAAGUAAAAAAACUUGAAUGGAAUUAAGGGACGAGAAGACCCUAUAGAGUUUAAUAAAUAGGAAAUGGUAAUAAGGUUAAUAAGAAUAUAAUUAUUAUGAUUAUAAUUUAUUUGGUUGGGGUGAUUAAAAGAUAAAAAAAACUCUUUUGUAAUUUAAAUAUUAAUAAAUAAUUUUAGGAUCCAUUAAAAUAAUGAUUGGAAGAGUAAAUUACCUUAGGGAUAACAGCAUGAUUUUUUUUGAGAGUUCUUAUCAAAAGAGAAGUUUAUGACCUCGAUGUUGGAUUAAGAUGAAAGUUGGGUGUAGAUGUUCAAUAAAUUAGGUCUGUUCGACCUUUAAAAUCUUACA